AUUGAACGCUGGCGGCAGGCCUAACACAUGCAAGUCGAACGGUAACAGGAAGCAGCUUGCUGCUUCGCUGACGAGUGGCGGACGGGUGAGUAAUGUCUGGGAAACUGCCUGAUGGAGGGGGAUAACUACUGGAAACGGUAGCUAAUACCGCAUAACGUCGCAAGACCAAAGAGGGGGACCUUCGGGCCUCUUGCCAUCGGAUGUGCCCAGAUGGGAUUAGAUAGUAGGUGGGGUAACGGCUCACCUAGGCGACGAUCCCUAGCUGGUCUGAGAGGAUGACCAGCCACACUGGAACUGAGACACGGUCCAGACUCCUACGGGAGGCAGCAGUGGGGAGUAUUGCACAAUGGGCGCAAGCCUGAUGCAGCCAUGCCGCGUGUAUGAAGAAGGCCUUCGGGUUGUAAAGUACUUUCAGCGGGGAGGAAGGUGUUGAGGUUAAUAACCUCAGCAAUUGACGUUACCCGCAGAAGAAGCACCGGCUAACUCCGUGCCAGCCGCCGCGGUAAAAC
rnacentral:rRNA from 1 species